CUGCCCCUUAACCGAUAUCUUUCCCAAAUCUGGUCAUCUUCCCAUUCCCCCUCAAACAAUCACAGCAGCUAACGCUAACCUCUUUGACAUGCAUGAAUUGUUCAAAAGACAAAGCAUCAAUUGAGAAUUCUAGCACUGUCAAACUCAGAUCCAACAGGGAAAUGGUAUCACCUGCCUAUUGUAGAAUGACACAGCCUUAGUAGAAAUUAAGGAUAAACAAGCUCCAACACUAGCACAGAUGUAAACAAACUGAGAGCAGAAGCCCCCUCGGGAGCUCAUGCCGAACAGCCAUCGCCGGAAGGGGUGGCAUGGUGCCGCUGCUGUCUCAUCCUCGUGCAUCCACCACCGACCCACUGCCAGCCAUCAUCAUCUCCCACGCGUCGCGACCGGCACCCGACCAAGGCCAAACCGUCGAACAGUUGACGUGCGUGGCGGUGCUGGUGGAACGGGGUUGAAGGCGGCAACCGGAUACAGGGGCCCACCGCUGCGGAGGACGUCGGAGAGGAACGCCCUGAGUCGCCGCCGCCAAAGCCGGGGCUGGGCUGCAUUCACCGGAGUUCCUAGGUGGAGGGGUGGAAGGGACCAGAUGGGGAGGCCAUCGGGCUAGGGAAUGAGCUAGAGAGGAAAGGAAUGAGAUGGAGGGGGGAGGAGAGGUGGCCGCCGGGGCAGAGAGGCUACCGGAGAGGGUGGACGCCGGCGCCGGAGUGGCGGCGGUGGCGGGGAACCCUAGCCUGUCGCAAGAGCGGACCCGUGCCUACUUCCCUUAUCAGGCGAGCCUCGUCUCUCGAUACAGAUGGAACUUGGAAGGCAUAGAGCCUACCUGCCACUGGCCCUCUAAUGGCUCAUCCUACGCCUGAUAUUAAUUGUGUUGAGAGAGGACCUUGAUGAGAGGCAAAGGCGCUAAGCAUUAUGAACAUGAUAAAUUAUUUGGCAUGCAGAAACUGCAAAUAUAUUGCAGUGCACUUUGGCUGGACCUGGAUUGAGUACAAUCAUAGCUGGAAAACGAUCAUCUAGCAUUACUCCAAAGUCUACUACGUAGUAAACCUGCAAUCCCUGAAUACCAAGCCCAGAACUGCUAUAGAGCUUACUGCUGAUUAAUGAAAAUAGAACCUGCGCUCUAGCAAUCUGACAAUAACACAAGAACAAUAGGAUGGAACUAAUAAAAGGCAAAACUUAAUUCUAAC
rnacentral:lncRNA from 1 species